GACGAACGCUGGCGGCGUGCUUAACACAUGCAAGUCGAACGGAAAGGCCCUGCUUUUGUGGGGUGCUCGAGUGGCGAACGGGUGAGUAACACGUGAUUAACCUGCCCUUGACUUUGGGAUAACUUCAGGAAACUGGUGCUAAUACCGGAUAGUAGCUCCUGCUGCAUGGUGGUGGUUGGAAAGUUUCGGCGGUUGGGGAUGGACUCGCGGCUUAUCAGCUUGUUGGUGGGGUAGUGGCUUACCAAGGCUUUGACGGGUAGCCGGCCUGAGAGGGUGACCGGCCACAUUGGGACUGAGAUACGGCCCAGACUCCUACGGGAGGCAGCAGUGGGGAAUAUUGCACAAUGGGCGGAAGCCUGAUGCAGCAACGCCGCGUGCGGGAUGACGGCCUUCGGGUUGUAAACCGCUUUCGCCUGUGACGAAGCGUGAGUGACGGUAAUGGGUAAAGAAGCACCGGCUAACUACGUG
rnacentral:rRNA from 1 species